rnacentral:rRNA from 1 species
GAUGAACGCUGGCGGCGUGCCUAAUACAUGCAAGUCGAGCGAACGGACGAGAAGCUUGCUUCUCUGAUGUUAGCGGCGGACGGGUGAGUAACACGUGGAUAACCUACCUAUAAGACUGGGAUAACUUCGGGAAACCGGAUCUAAUACCGGAUGAUAUUUUGAACCGCAUGGUUCAAAAGUGAAAGACGGUCUUGCUGUCACUUAUAGAUGGAUCCGCGCUGCAUUAGCUAGUUGGUAAGGUAACGGCUUACCAAGGCAACGAUGCAUAGCCGACCUGAGGGGGUGAUCGGCCACACUGGAACUGAGACACGGUCCAGACUCCUACGGGAGGCAGCAGUAGGGAAUCUUCCGCAAUGGGCGAAAGCCUGACGGAGCAACGCCGCGUGAGUGAUGAAGGUCUUCGGAUCGUAAAACUCUGUUAUUAGGGAAGAACAUAUGUGUAAGUAACUGUGCACAUCUUGACGGUACCUAAUCAGAAAGCCACGGCUAACUACGUG